rnacentral:lncRNA from 1 species
UGAGGGUUGAGUGGGGUUUGGGUAAGAUGGGGGAUGGUGUCCGGCCCAAUCCAUAAAGAUAUUUUUUUUGUUUAAUUAAUUUCAGAAAUAAUUUCCUGUGUAAUGAUAAAUCCAGAAAAGUCUAGAUAAAUCAUUUGAACCACGAAAAAUACUCUAAAAUCUAAAAAAUUCCAGGAAAAUUUCCUAGAGAUAGAUUGGGACACGAUGAGUCCAAAUAAACCAUUUGGAGCUCGUACAAAAAAAAAU